rnacentral:rRNA from 1 species
GACGAACGCUGGCGGCGUGCCUAAUACAUGCAAGUAGAACGCUGAAGAGAGGAGCUUGCUCUUCUUGGAUGAGUUGCGAACGGGUGAGUAACGCGUAGGUAACCUGCCUUGUAGCGGGGGAUAACUAUUGGAAACGAUAGCUAAUACCGCAUAACAAUGGAUGACACAUGUCAUUUAUUUGAAAGGGGCAAUUGCUCCACUACAAGAUGGACCUGCGUUGUAUUAGCUAGUAGGUGAGGUAAUGGCUCACCUAGGCGGCGAUACAUAGCCGACCUGAGAGGGUGAUCGGCCACACUGGGACUGAGACACGGCACAGACGCCUACGGGAGGCAGCAGUAGGGAAUCUUCGGCAAUGGGGGCAACCCUGAGCGAGCAACGCCGCGGGAGGGAAGAAGGUUGUCGGAUCGGAAAGCUCUGUUGUAAGUCAAGAAAGGGUGUGAGAGUGGAAAGUUCACACUGUGACGGUAGCUUACCAGAAAGGGACGGCUAACUACGUG